rnacentral:lncRNA from 1 species
UGGUUUUAUUAACUUGCCACAGGCCCCUGAGGUAGCAUCACUCCCUUAAUACUUCAGUUUUAUGUUAUUUAUUUUUUCUCUUUUUUUUUUUUUGUGUGACGGAGUCUCACUCUGUUGCCCAGACUGGAACGCAGUGGCGUGAUCUCGGCUCACUGCAACCUCCACCUCCCGGGUUCAAGUGAUUCUCCUGCCUCAGUCUCCCAAGUAGCUGGGAUUACAGGCGUGCGCCACCACGCCCAGCUAAUUUUUGUUAGACGGGGUUUCACCAUGUUGGCCAGGAUGGUCUUGAGCUCUUGACCUUGUGAUCCACCCACCUCAGCCUCCCAAAGUGCUGGGAUCACAUGCGUGAGCCACCGCAUCCAGCCUUAUUAAUUUUUUGAGACGGGGCUUGCUCUGUCACCUAGGCUGGAGUGCAGUGAUGCAGUCUUGGCUCACUGCAGCCUCAACCUCCCAAGCUCAAGCAAUUCUUCCACCUCAGCCUCCUGAAUAGUUGGUAGUACAGGUGUGUACCAUACCCGAUUAAUUUUUGUGUAUUUUGUAAUUUUGUGUAUUUUGUAGAGACAGGAUUUCACCAUGUCGCCUAGGCUGGUCUCGAACUCCUGGACUCAAGCGAUCCUCCCACCUUGGCCUCCCAAAGUGUUGUAGUUACAGGUGUGAGCCACUGCGCCGGCCAUAAAUUACACUUAAAAAAAAUAAAAAGUAUUGAGGCCGGGUGUGGUGGCUCACGCCUAUUAUCCCAGCACUUUGGGAGGCCAAGGCAGGUGGAUCACAAAGAGUUCAAGACCAGCCUGGCCAAGAUAGUGAAAUCCCGUCUCUACUAAAAAUACAACAAUUAGCCGGACGCAGUGCCAGAUGCCUGUAAUCCCAGCUACUUGGGAGGCUGAGGCAGGAGAAUCGCUUGAACCCAGGUGGCAGAGGCUGCAGUGAGCCGAGAUCAUGCCACUGUACUCCAGCCUAGGCAAUAGAGUGAAACUCUGUCUCAAAAAAAAAAAAAAAAAAAAAAAAAUAUUGGCCGGGCGCAGUGGCUCACACCUAUAAUCCCAGCACUUUGGGAGGCCGAGGUGGGAGGAUCACUUGAGGUCAGGAGUUCAAGACCAGCCUGGCCAAUAUGGUGAAACCCCAUCUCUAUUAAAAAUACAACAAUUUGCCAGGCAUGUUGGCACAGGCCUGUAAUCCCAGCUACUGAGGAGGCUGAGGCAGGAGAAUCACUUGAACCUGGGAGGCAGAGGUUGCAGUGAGCCGAGAUUGCACCACUGCACUCCAGCAGGCAAAACAGAGCAAGACCCUGUCUCAAAAAAAAAAAAAAAAAAA